GGACCCGCACAAGUAGUGGAGCAUGUGGUUUAAUUCGAAGAUACGCGCAGAACCUUACCAACACUUGACAUGUUCGUCGCGACUUUAAGAGAUUAAAGUUUUCGGUUCGGCCGGACGAAACACAGGUGCUGCAUGGCUGUCGUCAGCUCGUGUCGUGAGAUGUUGGUUAAGUCCCGCAACGAGCGCAACCCUCACUUUUAGUUGCCAUCAUUAAGUUGGGCACUCUGAAAGAACUGCCAGUGAUAAGCUGGAGGAAGGUGGGGAUGACGUCAAGUCCUCAUGGCCCUUACGUGUUGGGCUACACACGUGCUACAAUGGCAUUUACAAUAGGAAGCAAGAUGGCGACAUCAAGCA
rnacentral:rRNA from 1 species